GAUGAACGCUAGCGGGAGGCUUAACACAUGCAAGUCGAGGGGUAACAGGAGUAGCAAUACUUGCUGACGACCGGCGCACGGGUGAGUAACGCGUAUGCAACCUGCCCUUUACUGGAAGAUAGCCCGGAGAAAUUCGGAUUAAUAUUCCAUAGUACAUAUUUGUUGCAUAACAGAUAUGUUAAAGUUCCGACGGUAAAGGAUGGGCAUGCGUCCCAUUAGCUAGUUGGUGAGGUAACGGCUCACCAAGGCGACGAUGGGUAUGGGGUCUAAAAGGAUGGUCCCACACACUGGCACUGAGAUACGGGCCAGACUCCUACGGGUGGCAG
rnacentral:rRNA from 1 species